AUAAUACAAUUCAGGAUUUUUUGCUAAAGUGUGAGUCCCAUUGUACAGCGCUACGGAAUUUACUGGCGUUAUAUAAAUAAUAAAGUAAUAAUAAUUGUCAAGAAUUCAAAGUGAAUAUCAAAUUUUAAGCCAAAAGUAGUUAAAUUGGAAACAUUUCUCCAUGUCAGCUAUAUUUGGCAAUCUUACAAUUUCGUUUCCAAUUUACAAUUGAG